rnacentral:rRNA from 1 species
CAGCCGCCGCGGGAAUACGGAGGGUGCGAGCGUUAAUCGGAAUAACUGGGCGUAAAGGGCACGCAGGCGGUGACUUAAGUGUGGUGUGAAAGCCCCGGGCUUAACCUGGGAAUUGCAUUUCAUACUGGGUCGCUAGAGUACUUUAGGGAGGGGUAGAAUUCCACGUGUAGCGGUGAAAUGCGUAGAGAUGUGGAGGAAUACCGAAGGCGAAGGCAGCCCCUUGGGAAGGUACUGACGCUCAUGUGCGAAAGCGUGGGGAGCAAACAGGAUUAGAUACCCCUGUAGUCCCUGUCUCUUAUAC